UACGAAGGGGGCUAGCGUUGCUCGGAAUUACUGGGCGUAAAGGGAGCGUAGGCGGACAUUUAAGUCAGAGGUGAAAUCCCGGAGCUCAACUCCGGAACUGCCUUUGAUACUGGGUGUCUUGAGUGUGAGAGAGGUAUGUGGAACUCCGAGUGUAGAGGUGAAAUUCGUAGAUAUUCGGAAGAACACCAGUGGCGAAGGCGACAUACUGGCUCAUUACUGACGCUGAGGCUCGAAAGCUAGGGUAGCGAACGGG
rnacentral:rRNA from 1 species